UUAUUUUUGUUUCUAGAAUUGGAUAUAGUUUAUCAUAAUAUGAAUGAUAAUGUGGGAAUGAGUGUAUCUAACUUCUUAGGGAAUUUUUGCCUGAGAAAAUGGAAUUAUGUUAUUGAUAUUUUAAAUAUAAGGUUAUAAAUAAGUUUAAAAAUAAAUUAAGGUAUAAUUCAGAUUACAAUGAAUAUGGAUGCUGUAGUAUAGCUCAGUGGGAUCACAUGUUCUUAGCUUUAUGAGGCCUUAAGCUCAAUCUCCAGCACCCCCCAAAAAAUUACCCACAUUUAGAACCUUAAAGUAGACCUUUGCUCAAGAGUAAGACCAUAAAAUCCUUUUAAAAUUGUAUUUGCUUAAAAACUCUUAACUUUUCCAAAAUUCUCUCAAGCCAGAGAGAAAAAUCAUACAAGAAAAGCUUAUUUUUCUAUCUCCUCAGUAGAGAAAAGCUGUAGUCAUGUCCAGUGAGAGUUUAGGUUGCUUUGACCACUAGGGGGCGUUUCAGGAUUGACUCUUUCCUUCUCUUUGGAAAGUAGUAGACAGAGAAGGGCAUUGCAGUGACCACCAAGGGGCGUUGUACACUGACUCCUUUCCUUUCUUGGCAAAGUAGUAGGGAGAAGAGCACUGCAAAAACUACUGAGCAGAUACAUCUCCUCUUUGUUGUUUUCUCUGUUACCAAAGGAGAUGUUCCUUUGGCCUGCUUACUUCUCAGUGUCAUAAACUAGAUGCUGUUGAUAAUGUGGAACUCAAUAAAAAUCUCCCUUGAACCCUGAUAUAGCUGUCUCUUGUGAGACUCUGCCGGGGCCUGGCAAAUACAGAAGUGAAUGCUCACAGUCAGCUAUUGGAUGGAACACAGGGCCCCCAAUGGAGGAGCUAGAGAAAGUACCCAAGGAGCUAAAGGGAUCUGCAACCCUAUAGGUGGAACAACAAUAUGAACUAACCAGUGCCCCCCGGAGCUCUUGACUCUAGCUGCAUAUGUAUCAGAAGAUGGCCUAGUCGGCCAUCAGUGGAAAGAGAGGCCCAUUGGUCAUGCAAACUUUAUAUGUCUCAGUACAGGGGAACGCCAGGGCCAAGAAGUGGGAAUGGGUGGGUAGGGGAGUGGAGGGGAGGGUAUGGGGGACUUUUGGGAUAGCAUUGGAAAUGUAAAUGAGGAAAAUACCUAAUAAAAAAAUUAAAAAAAAAUCUCCCUUGAAAUGACCUAGCACUUUGUAACAAAAGGACCUAUUACUCAACUUUUUUAUCUAAAAACAAAGUAAAACAUGAAAAAGUCAGAAAUAGUUCUAGUAUAUUUGAAUAAUCCAGACUCUGGCAUUCCUGUCUUCUUUCCUUCUAUCCAAACCUUCUCCAAAAAGAGCAGAGCUCAUGAAACAGUGUUUUAAAAAGUAGAAAUUGGAAAACAUGAACUACUACCAUAAAUAGUUCUUAUGGUAGUUUUACUACCAUAAAGCGUUCUUUCUCACAGAACUCUUCAAGAAAAAUGACCUGCCCCUUAUCAAGUAUUGAUGAUCUCCUUUGCCUAGCAUGUAGCAACACUAUGUAGUAUAUAAAAAAUGUAUCAUCCAUUCAUUGUCCUUCCUGUAGGAGCUGUUGAUAGGCGCUCCUUAACAGUGGUGCCCUAAUGAUAGCUGCUCUGUCCUAGUGCCAUUUUUCAUUGACUAAAUUAUCACUGAUGGGCACUGUACUUUGUAUGAAUCAUGUGUCUCACUAUAGGUUAUUUAGUUAAGUUUGCAGAGUACUUUUCUUCCCUGAUGAAAAGAGUCUGGCACAAAUAACUGCAUUUUAAGUUUGUUCACCGUUUUGCUCGUGCAUCCUCCCCAGGGAACAAGUGUUACAGAUUUUGUUCUCUCAUACAAUGAGAUAUGUGUAGUGUGCUGGUUGUUCCCCAGCUUGAAGCUCUAUACUUUUUUUAAAAAAGCUAACCACUCUCCAAAUAUAAUACAAAAAGGUAUAAUUUAAACAAAUUCUCCUAUCCCUAGUGUGGGUCUACCUGCUUUAGACCCCGAAUCUCUAACAGUUCUAUUCAUUUGGCUUGCUGAUUAUCUUUUAGCUUCUUGUCUAAUCUGUGGUCUCUAUUAUACAAACCUUCCCAUGUAGUACUGACUCUGCCUGGAGGAUGCUUUCUCUCUGUCUCUCUGUCUCUCUGUCUGUCUCUCUCUCUCUCUCCCUUCCUUUCUUCCUUUCUUUCUUCCUUUCUUCCUUUCUUCCUUUCUUCCUUUCUUAUAGUGAAAUUCUAUCUUUUAUGAUUCACUGUGACAGCCUUCUCUAUUCCCCUGACUAGAGUGAAAUUCCCCUUCUCUGUGCCCUGAUGGGCUUCUGCUUCCAUGGCAUUUGCCCCACACCCAUUAAAUGUAGGAUAUGCUGGAGGGGCUAGCGAAGAAGUGCAAAAGUUAAAUGUAACUGCUGGGCCAAUAUGUGACAGGGUUAGUUAGAAGUGCUAGGAUUGCUUAUCAUUGUAUGCCCACCAGGAUGGAACCCAGAUACUGAUGUGGGAAUUAGUCAGAAUGGUUGGUUCACCUCUGACAUUGCUUGGGCAGCAUUCCACAGCCCAAGAGCUAACCUAAUGAAAGAGACAGCCCCAUUCUAAGUGACAUAGCUCUCCACCAGCGACAAAUUUGCACCCCUAGGAGACAUAAAUGAUGUCUAGGGACAUUUCUGAUUUUCAUUGCUGGAGAAAGGAGUUAUUCUACUGACAAGUAGUGGACAGAGGAUAGUAAUGGUGCUAAAUAGACGGCAAGGCAUAGGGCAGACACACAAGGAUACUUUGUCCACUAAGAUGUAGUGGUCUAUUCUCAGUUCGAUUACCUACUGUUGUAUGUAGAACCAUAAACACGAUACACUGCUUGGCUCAGUAGACCAGAGUGAAUUUAAUUUACAAUUCUAUGACAAGGUUAUAAUUGUAGUAGAACUUAAUGUAUUUGUCUCUAAGUAGAAAUGGACCUUGUGUAACAUCAGUUUUGUUUGCAUUUUAGAACUAGGCCUCCUGUAUACUUUUGGAGACGGCCGACAUGGAAAGUUAGGACUUGGGAUGGAGAAUUUCACCAAUCAGUUCUUUCCUACCUUGUGCUCUAACUUUUUGAGAUUUGCAGUUCAAUUGGUAAGGGUUUCAUAUCCCCUCUUGUAUAUUUUAUACUUCUAGAUUUGAGACUCUGGUUAUUUCAUAGAAAAUGCGUAUUUUUAUCUUUGUGUGAGGGUUUCCUAGGUACAGCUCAUAAUAACUGUAAGAGCCAAGUGUUAGACAUUGUAUUCCUCUGGAAAAAAAAAACUCUCCUUUUCUAAUUUUCUUCCUUUAACAACAUUUUUCUACAAAUUUGAGUUUUCUGCUUCCUUUUAACUUUUCUUGGAAACUAGGACUGUGCCAUGUCUGUAAGCUUCGUAUCUCAUGUAGCAAGCACCAGUAGGGCUCACAGUAACUACAGGGCAAAUGAAAUGUCACUGGUUGAACACUCUCCAACCCAGCCCAAGAAGAGACUUGAUACUAAAUGAAGAAUGUUGCAUAUUGGUUGAACACUGAGAUAAGAAUUACUCUUUUCAGUGCCACAGGAACAUCACCAUCAGUCUUUCUGUUUUAUUGUUUCUAGUAUUUUUGCAAGUUAAGAACUAUAGACGUGGGCUGGAGAGAUGGUUGAGUGGUUAAGAGCACUGGCUGUUCUUCCAGAGGACCCAGGCUCAAUUCCCAGCAAUCACAUAGCAGCCCACAACUUUCUGCAAAUCCAGUUCCAGGGGAUGUGACACUGGAAUAUAUGUGUGACAGGACACUGGCAUAUGUGCAUCAAAACAUCUCUACAUAUCAAAUAAUU
rnacentral:lncRNA from 1 species